rnacentral:rRNA from 1 species
AGGGGGGUUAGGUUCUCGCCUUUACAUUGGCCCAAGGGGGAUUAGCUAGUUGGUGAGGUAAUGGCUCACCAAGGCGACGAUCCCUAGCUGGUUUGAGAGGAUGAUCAGCCACACUGGGACUGAGACACGGCCCAGACUCCUACGGGAGGCAGCAGUGGGGAAUAUUGCACAAUGGGCGCAAGCCUGAUGCAGCCAUGCCGCGUGUGUGAAGAAGGCCUUCGGGUUGUAAAGCACUUUCAGUCAGGAGGAAAGGUUAGUAGUUAAUACCUGCUAGCUGUGACGUUACUGACAGAAGAAGCACCGGCUAACUCCGUGCCAGCAGCCGCGGUAAUACGGAGGGUGCGAGCGUUAAUCGGAAUUACUGGGCGUAAAGCGUACGCAGGCGGUUUGUUAAGCGAGAUGUGAAAGCCCCGGGCUCAACCUGGGAACUGCAUUUCGAACUGGCAAACUAGAGUGUGAUAGAGGGUGGUAGAAUUUCAGGUGUAGCGGUGAAAUGCUUAUAGAUCUGAAGGAAUACCGAUGGCGAAGGCAGCCACCUGGGUCAACACUGACGCUCAUGUACGAAAGCGUGGGGAGCAAACGGGAUUAGAUACCCCGGUAGUCCACGCCGUAAACGAUGUCUACUAGAAGCUCGGAGCCUCGGUUCUGUUUUUCAAAGCUAACGCAUUAAUUAAACCGCCUGGGGAGCACGGCCGCAAGGUUAAAACUUCAAAUGAAUUGAC